rnacentral:snRNA from 1 species
GGAUGUGAGGGGGAUCAGGCUGUGACAUCUGUCACCCCAUUGACAGCCAGAGUUGAUUUGGUUGAUCUGGAUGGCUAGGUUGAUAUGGCCUUCGUCCCUCAUGGCUCUGUGUGUGUCCUUCCCACUGCACACUCGGUAGAAGAGGACAACCUUCCCUGAAUAGAGGAGGAGCAGUCUUUGGUCAAGGCUUUAUGAGUAGCUACACUUUCCUGCUAGAACCUGCAAACAAGCUCUCAAGAAUAGGAAGCAGCGUUUUAGUUUGGAGCUCAUUUUAAAUAACGAAGUCAU